rnacentral:rRNA from 1 species
GACAGAGGGUGCAAGCGUUGUUCGGAAUUAUUGGGCGUAAAGGGCGCGUAGGCGGCUUGGUAAGUUGGAUGUGAAAUCCCAGGGCUCAACCCUGGAAGUGCAUCCAAAACUGCCUGGCUUGAAUCCCGGAGAGGGUGGUGGAAUUCCCAGUGUAGAGGUGAAAUUCGUAGAUAUUGGGAGGAACACCGGUGGCGAAGGCGACCACCUGGACGGUGAUUGACGCUGAGGCGCGAAAGCGUGGGGAGCAAACAGGG